AUUGAACGCUGGCGGCAGGCCUAACACAUGCAAGUCGAACGAGUGGCGGACGGGUGAGUAAUGUCUGGGAAACUGCCUGAUGGAGGGGGAUAACUACUGGAAACGGUAGCUAAUACCGCAUACAAUCGGAUGUGCCCAGAUGGGAUUAGCUAGUAGGUUGGGUAACGGCUCACCUAGGCGAGGAUCCCUAGCUGGUCUGAGAGGAUGAAAAGCCACACUUGAACUGAGACACGAGCCAGAGCCCUACGGGAGGCAGCAGUGGGGAAUAUUGCCCAAUGGGCGCAAGCCUGAUGCAGCCAUGCCUCGUGUAGGAAGAAGGCCUUCGGGUUGUAAAGUACUUUCAGCGGGGAGGCGUUACCCGCAGAAGAAGAACCGGCUAACUCCGUGCCAGCCGCCGCGGUAAAC
rnacentral:rRNA from 1 species